UACGUAGGGGGCAAGCGUUGUCCGGAAUCAUUGGGCGUAAAGCGCGUGUAGGCGGCUCGAUAAGUCUGCUGUGAAAGUUCAGGGCUCAACCCUGAAAUGCCGGUGGAAACUGUCGGGCUAGAGUCCGGAAGAGGCGAGUGGAAUUCCUGGUGUAGCGGUGAAAUGCGCAGAUAUCAGGAGGAACACCAAUGGCGAAGGCAGCUCGCUGGGACGAUACUGACGCUGAGGCGCGAAAGCGUGGGGAGCAAACAGG
rnacentral:rRNA from 1 species